rnacentral:misc_RNA from 1 species
GAUGAAGAACGUAGCGAAAUGCGUUAAGUAAUGUGAAUUGCAGAAUUCAGUGAAUCAUCGAGUCUUUGAACGCACCUUGCGCUCCUUGGUAUUCCGAGGAGCAUGCCUGUUUGAGUGUCAUUAAAUUCUCAACCUUAUUAGCUUUUGUUGAUAAUGGCUUGGACUUUGGGGGUCUUUUGCUGGCCUUGAUGGGUCAGCUCCCCUUAAAUGUAUUAGCUGGUUCUGGACUUGUCUUAUUGGUGUGAUAAUUAUCUAUGCCAUGGAUGGUCUGCUUUUGAGCUGCUUCUAACUGUCUGUUGACUUUAUGACAAUUUGACCUCAAAUCAGGUAGGACUACCCGCUGAACUUAAGCAUAUCAAUAAGCGGAGGA